rnacentral:rRNA from 1 species
GAUGAACGCUGGCGGCGUGCCUAAUACAUGCAAGUCGAGCGAACAGACGAGAAGCUUGCUUCUCUGAUGUUAGCGGCGGACGGGUGAGUAACACGUGGAUAACCUACCUAUAAGACUGGGAUAACUUCGGGAAACCGGAGCUAAUACCGGAUAAUAUUUUGAACCGCAUGGUUCAAAAGUGAAAGACGGUCUUGCUGUCACUUAUAGAUGGAUCCGCGCUGCAUUAGCUAGUUGGUAAGGUAACGGCUUACCAAGGCAACGAUGCAUAGCCGACCUGAGAGGAGGAUUGGCCACACUGGAACGGAGACACGGUCCAGACUCCUACGGGAGGCAGCAGUAGGGAAUCUUCCGCAAUGGGCGAAAGCCUGACGGAGCAACGCCGCGUGAGUGAUGAAGGUCUUCGGAUCGUAAAACUCUGUUAUUAGGGAAGAACAGAUGUGUAGGUAACUGUGCACAUCUUGACGGUACCUAAUCAGAAAGCCACGGCUAACUACGUG